CAGUCGCCGCGGUAAUACGAAGGGGGCUAGCGUUGUUCGGAUUUACUGGGCGUAAAGCGCACGUAGGCGGAUAUUUAAGUCAGGGGUGAAAUCCUGGAGCUCAACUCCAGAACUGCCUUUGAUACUGGGUAUCUAGAGUCCGGAAGAGGUGAGUGGAACUCCUAGUGUAGAGGUGGAAUUCGUAGAUAUUAGGAAGAACACCAGUGGCGAAGGCGGCUCACUGGUCCGGUACUGGCGCUGAGGUGCGAAAGCGUGGGGAGUAAACAGGAUUAGAUACCCCUGUAGUCCCUGUCUCUUAUAC
rnacentral:rRNA from 1 species